rnacentral:lncRNA from 1 species
AAUGGCAACUGAUGGAAUGGGGGAAGGCAAGACAGCAGGGCUGGGGGCUCCGGACUGCGGGCGGGCGAGCCGCUGCCGCCGCUUGACGCUCCUCUGGGGACCUUCGCGAGUUACUUUGUAAAGGCGAACCCGGGCGAGGGAGCCCCGCUUCGUGCCCGGGUCAGAGGCCACUUCCUGCUCCCUGGCUGUCCAGCGCGGUUCGCAUCGCGCGGCUACCCCGGGGCUUCUGCCCGCUCCUGCCACUUGCCUGCGACCGGAGCCCGGAGCCGCUUCCCCAAAGAACACUUGUCCUCGCAGCUCUGCUUCCCAUCACCGCCCCCUGCUCCUCCCAGGCGUCUGCGAUUUUUCCCAGGCGCCCGGUGUGAGUGCGGCUUGCGUGUGAGUGCGUGUAUCAGGGUAUU